rnacentral:rRNA from 1 species
GAUGAACGCUGGCGGCGUGCCUAAUACAUGCAAGUCGAGCGAACAGAUCAUGCGCUUGCUCCUUUGACGUUAGCGGCGGACGUGUGAGUAACACGUGUAUAACCUCCCUAUAUGACUGGUAUAACUUCGGGAAACCGGAGCUAAUACCGUAUAACAUAUUGCACCGCAUGGUUCAUUAGUGAAUUUCGGCUUUGCUGUCACUUCUAGCUGCAUCCGCGCCGUAUUAGCUAGUUGUUAAGUUAACGGCUUACCAAGGCAACGAUACGUAGACGACCUGAGAGAGUGAUAGGCCACACUAGAACUGGAACACGGUCAAGACUCCUAAGAGAGGCAGCAGUAGGGAAUCUGCCGCAGUGGGCGAAAGCAUGACGGAGCAACGCCGCGUGAGUGAUGAAGGUCUUCGGAUCGUAAAAAUCUGUUAUCAGGGAAGAACAAAUGUGUAAGUAACUGUGCACAGAUUGACGGUACCGGAUAAGAAAGCCACGGCUAACUACGUG